CUAGGAAUUAUGCACAAUGGCCGAAAGGCUGAUGCUGCGACAUCGCGUGGAGGAUGAAGGUCUUAGGAUCGUAAACUCCUUUUAUCUACGAACAAGUUCUGAGUGUAGUAGAUGAAUAAGUGCCUGCCAACCACGUGCCAGAAGCAUCGGUAAUACGUGGGACACAAGCGUUACCCGGAUUCACUGGGCGUAAAGAGAUGCGUAGGCGUCUAGAAAAGUUCUGUGUUAAAUCUCAAGGCUCACCCUUAAAACUGCAUAGAAAACUCUCUGGAUUGAGUCAUGUAGAGAAGAAGGGAAUUCCUGGUGGAGCGGUUAAAUGCGUUGAUAUCAGGAGGAACACCAAUGGCGAAAGCACUUCUUUGGACAUGUACUGACGCUAAGGCUCGAAAGUGUGUGGAGC
rnacentral:rRNA from 1 species